rnacentral:lncRNA from 1 species
GGUGCUGGUAUGUGUAUGUAUCUGUUUGAAAAAUAAAUAUAGAUAUGAAUUCUGUAGUUGUUUUAUAUCAAAUAUGUAUUCGUAUAGAUAUAUACAAACAUGAACAUAAUGAUAUAUGUUUUUGUAUUCAAUCCAUUUUCAGUUCUAAUUGAAAAAAAAAAGGAUGAUAUGUAAAAAAGAGAUUGAGAUGGAAAAUUUGUAAAGCAUUAUCGUCUCUUCUGUCCUUCAAAAAUAAUACAAUUUAAGAGAGAGAGAGAGAGAGAGAGAGAG